rnacentral:rRNA from 1 species
UUUGAAUCCUAUAAAAGGUAACGCCUGCCCAGUGACUUUAUGUUUAACGGCCGCGGUACUCUGACCGUGCAAAGGUAGCGUAAUCACUUGUCUUUUAAAUAAGGACUAGUAUGAAUGGCAUCACGAGGACUUAGCUGUCUCCCUCAUCUAAUCAGUGAAACUGAUCUCCCUGUGAAAAAGCAGGGAUAAACACAUAAGACGAGAAGACCCUAUGGAGCUUUAAACCAAAAAUUACCUGUUUAAUCUAUUAUAAUAAGAAUAAUACUAAAAUAACUGAUCUAGUUUAGGUUUUCAGUUGGGGUGACUGUGGAGAAAAAUAAAUCCUCCACGCAGACUUAAGCUUUGAGCGACCGCUCUACGCAUUAGCAAGUCUAACUGCACUUGAUCCAAUAUUUUUGAUCAACGGACCAAGUUACCCUAGGGAUAACAGCGCAAUCCAUUUUAAGAGUCCAUAUCGACAAAUGGGUUUACGACCUCGAUGUUGGAUUAGGACACCCAAGUGGUGCAGCCGCUACUUAAGGUUCGUUUGUUC